UGUCACAGGAUGAAAAAGGCACCAAGCACUGAGCAGAGCUGAAUGCAGCCCACAGGUGCCCGCCCGGGAGGCCAGCCUCCAUGAGGACAGAUGGGGGAGAGAGGGGCACAGUGACAUUUCAGGUCGCCGGCCUCCCGGCUCCGCGGCAAUAUUUACCCUCCUGAAAUAGCUCCGUCACAUGAGCAGAACUGCACACACAACCCGCAGACACAAAAGGACGGUUUCUCGGUGCCAGGCGCGCCGGGGGCCCGUGUUCCGCCCCCCAUCCUAGGCCUGGGCAGACCUGGGGGCCAAGGUCGGACAGCCAACCCUCACCCACCCUUUCCCCUCACGUGGUCUGGAAAGGUCCCGGGUCACGGGGACAGACUGUGGCUGAAGCGGCCUGGACCUCAGGCCACUGCCAUGAUACCAGGCCCAGAGGUGGGAGAGAGCUGCCCUUGCAGUCACACCUGGCCAGCCGAACUCGAGGACCCAGGUGCGAGCCCCAGGCCCCUGCACUGAAGGAGGCUCCUGGAGCGGCGUUGAAGUGUCUCAGUCUCUCCCUCUCUGUCUCUGUCUGAAAUUGAAAAGAAGAGAAGAGUCAGCACCGGUGGGAUCUCACAAGUGCACAGAGCCUCCAGGAGCAAGAAGAAAAAAAAAGUUCGGUCUAGGGACCAGGCGGUGGCACAGCUGGUAGAGCGCACACUUCACCUUGUGCGAGAACCCAGCUUCAAGAACUGGUCCCCACCUGCAGGGGCAGAAGCUUCCUGAGCGGUGAAGCGGGGCUGCAGGUCUCUCUCUUUCUCUCCUCAUCUCUAUCUUCCCCUCUUCAAUUCCUCUCUCUUUUUAAUUUUUUUUUAUGCAUUACUGGAUAGAGACAGAGAGAAACUGAGAGGGGAAAAGGAGAGAGAGAGAGAGAGACCUGCAGCCCUGCUUCACCACUCUUGAAGCUUUUCCCCUGCAGAUGGGGAGCAGGGGCUUGAACCCAGAUCCUUGUGCACUGUCAUAUGUGCCCUUUACCAGGUGUGCCACCAUCUGACCUCCUUAAUUUCUCUCUACCUUAUAAGAUAUAAAAAUAACUACAAAAAAAAAACAACCCUGAGGGAAUGGUGCCGAUAUGGAAAGAGGAGAGUGAAGUUGGUUUCAGCUAUUUGGGGAGAGGGCUGAGUCCCUCUACCCCACAUCUGAUUUUGACUUUUUUUUUUUCUUUUUAAAGUUUUUUUUUUUUUUUUUUUUUUUUUUAACCAGAGCACAGCUAAACUCUGGCUUAUGGUGAUUUGGGAGGUUGAACCUGGGACUUUGGAGCCUCAGGUAUGAGAGUCAUUUUGCAUAACCAUUAUGCUAUCCACCUUCCCCUCCACUCCCAUGACUUUUUUUUCCCUGUAAAGUUGGGUAAAUUUCAUUGCUAGAUUUGUUUUUUAUUUAUAUCUCUGGGGCUUAGUGCACAGCUCCAAUGCUCCUAGAGGUCAUGUACGUUUCUUUAGAUAGAGGUUGAGAAACAGAGGCAGGAAGGGGGUCACCUCUCCCCGUUCCUGAAGCUUCCCCACCUGCAGGGUUUCCCCUGUAGUGUCCCUGAGCUCAGACCUGGGUCCUAGAGCAUGUAACCUGUGAGCUCUACCAGGCAGGCCACUUCUGGCACCCUGCUUAUUUGUCUGGACAAGAGCUCCACUCCGCUCUGGCUUAUGGUGGUGCUGGGGAUUGAACCUGGGACUCAGUGCCUCAGUCAUGAAAACCUUUUUGCAGAAGCAUUAUACUAUUUCCCGAGUCUUCCCUUUUGUUUUGUUUUGUUUUGUUUGUUAAAUGUGGCGAAUGCAGCCAGGACCUCAAUUAAUAAAUAGUAAAAAAUAACAC